GACGAACUCUGGCGGCGUGCUUAACACAUGCAAGUCGAACGGAAAGGCCCUGCUUUUGUGGGGUGCUCGAGUGGCGAACGGGUGAGUAACACGUGAGUAACCUGCCCUUGACUUUGGGAUAACUUCAGGAAACUGGGGCUAAUACCGGAUAGGAGCUCCUGCUGCAUGGUGGGGGUUGGAAAGUUUCGGCGGUUGGGGAUGGACUCGCGGCUUAUCAGCUUGUUGGUGGGGUAGUGGCUUACCAAGGCUUUGACGGGUAGCCGGCCUAGAGGGUGACCGGCCACAUUGGGACUGAGAUACGGCCCAGACUCCUACGGGAGGCAGCAGUGGGGAAUAUUGCACAAUGGGCGGAAGCCUGAUGCAGCAACGCCGCGUGCGGGAUGACGGCCUUCGGGUUGUAAACCGCUUUCGCCUGUGACGAAGCGUGAGUGACGGUAAUGGGUAAAGAAGCACCGGCUAACUACGUG
rnacentral:rRNA from 1 species